CAGCAGCCGCGGUAAUACAGAGGGUGCGAGCGUUAAUCGGAUUUACUGGGCGUAAAGCGUGCGUAGGCGGCUUCUUAAGUCGGAUGUGAAAUCCCUGAGCUUAACUUAGGAAUUGCAUUCGAUACUGGGAAGCUAGAGUAUGGGAGAGGAUGGUAGAAUUCCAGGUGUAGCGGUGAAAUGCGUAGAGAUCUGGAGGAAUACCGGUGGCGAAGGCGGCCCCCUGGACAAAGACUGACGCUCAGGUGCGAAAGCGUGGGGAGCAAACAGGAUUAGAUACCCGGGUAGUCCCUGUCUCUUAUAC
rnacentral:rRNA from 1 species